rnacentral:rRNA from 1 species
AUUGAACGCUGGCGGCAGGCCUAACACAUGCAAGUCGAGCGGAAACGAAGGGAGCUUGCUCCCAGGCGUCGAGCGGCGGACGGGUGAGUAACACGUGAGAAUCUGCCCAUUAGUGGGGGACAACUCGGGGAAGCGCGAGCUAAUACCGCAUAAUCCCUACGGGGGAAAGCAGGGGACCGUUUGGCCUUGCGCUGAUGGAUGAGCUCACGUCGGAUUAGCUUGUUGGUGAGGUAAAGGCUCACCAGGGCGACGAUCCGGAGCGGGUCUGAGAGGAUGAUCAGCCACACUGGGACUGAGACACGGCCCAGACUCCUACGGGAGGCAGCAGUGGGGAAUCUUGGACAAUGGGGGCAACCCUGAUCCAGCCAUGCCGCGUGUGUGAAGAAGGCCUUCGGGUUGUAAAGCACUUUCAGCAGGGAGGAAGGCUUUGGCCGAAUAGGUUGAAGUACUUGACGUUACCUGCAGAAGAAGCGCCGGCUAAUUUCGUGCCAGCCGCCGCCGUAA